AAUGAACGCUGGCGGCGUGCCUUAUACAUGCAAGUCGAGCGACCACACGAGCAUCUUCCUCCCCUGACGUUAGCGGCGGACGGGUGAUUCACACGUGGAUACCCUACCGUUAGGGCUAGGAUAACUUCGGGAAGCCUGAUCCAAUACCCGAUAAUAUAUUGAACCGCAUGGUUCGAUAGUGAACGCCGUGUUUGCUGUCACUUAUUGAUGUUUCCUCGCCGGAUGAGCUAGUUGGUAAGGUAAAGGCUUACCAAGGCUACGAUGCGUAGCCGACCUGAGAGGAUGACCGGCCACACUGGGACUGAGACACGGCCCAGACUCCUACGGGAGGCAGCAGUGGGGAAUUUUGCACAAUGGGGGCAAGCUUGAUGGAGCAAUGCCGCGUGAGGGAUGAAGGUCUUCGGGUUGUAAACCUCUUUUGUUCGGGAAGAAAAAAUGUGUACGUAAACACGCGGGUCAUGACGGUACCUAAAGAGAAAGCAACGGCUAACUACGUG
rnacentral:rRNA from 1 species